rfam:Eutrema salsugineum unplaced genomic scaffold scaffold_9, whole genome shotgun sequence.
AUUGGCAAAUGACGAAUUGAUUAAUUAUGCUUAACACGCAGAAUAAUAAUGUUGACAAACAAUCUCCGCUUAUUAUCUGAUGCCUUG